ACGCAUAACGUGAACACGCUUCGUAUAUCUCCGGAAAUAGGGUCCGGAAGUCUCUACCGGGUGACCGUAAAUCACCCGACUAUGAAGGUGGCUUUGACCCUC
rnacentral:ncRNA from 2 species